GAAGAACCAUUUCCCCAUGUAAACAACCAUUUAAUCAUGCAAAGGUUUCUUUGAGUGUCUGGUUCUAUAUAGAGCCACUAUCUUUACUAAAGAACCCCUGAAAAACCAUCUUUUUAAGAUUGUAGAAUAAUAAGUAGAUUGAAAAUAUUCAUAGUGAAAGAAACAAAAAAAAUACAAAAAAGAAAGUCAAUCAAAUGAAAAGAGCAAAACGUAAACAACAAAACAAGAACACUGAGGAAGAUGAACAAAUUAGAACUAAACCUACAAAGGAACAAAAAUAGACCACAAAGCAAACAGUCAUAUUCGUCACAGGGCUUCAGACUGUAACUAAAAUCAUCGCAAUUGCGACCAAAAUUAUUAAUUUGCAAGUGAUAAAAUUAACUCGCCAGUGGCGACAGGUAGCAACUUUGGAUUAUUAUUUUUUUGUGGGUAACUAUUUAUUAAUAUUGUUCUGUACUUAUUACUUUUUUGUUUUUAUGUAUUUUCUUUCAUCAUUUUUCGUCUUAAAACGUAACUGAUAGCCCCAGCCCGUCCUGUCUCAUAAUACCACUUUACACCACAAGAGGCAAUAGUGAGUCACUGCAGUGCCAAGUCUGCCAUCAGUCCAACAUAAGAGGAUAAAGAGGAUAGCUCUUGACGAAGAAAGAGAUGAGGUUUGAUGCUGAACUUGCAACAUUUCUUCUAAACUGGUAAGGAAAGGAAGGAGUAAGGAGACAGAGGAGGGAUUGUGUGUUUCCUUGCUUCUUACGAUAGGGGUGGACACCACAACCUUCUUGCAGUAUUUUGCCACCUGUUUGGAAUGUGGAGAGUGAAUUUGACAGGUGGUGUCAUCUUACAGUUUGUUCCUUUAAGACAGGGGUCACAAAUGUCAUUUUGUCCUUUCAAGAAAAAUCAAACCACUUUGGGAGCUGCAACAUUCUGUGUCCAUUGUACCAUCUUGGUUGUAAAUAUGUCUCAGUAUGUGCUAAUAUACUAGUAUAGGCUAAAAAUAUAAACUAAAACUCAGGGUUACUUUGCUCUGCUUUAAGCUUUAAUUCAAACUAUAGCCACUUUUCCCGCAUCUCCAGCAGGAAACUUUUUCCCUAAAGUAAAAUAGUUCCUUGUAAAAUGUCUUUCAACAUUAGUUUUUUUGCGAGGCUGAAGUCAGCUUCUCGUUCACCAGCUUCUUGUUUGAAUUUUCACAUUCCACCUUAAACAGUGCCUGACUGCAGAAUUCAACUGCUGCACCAUGUAAGGUGGAACAGGAACAAGAAGCUGGUGAAUGAGAAACUGACUUCAGCUUCAUGACUUUUUAGAGCUUGACCGUUUGUCAUUGCAGAUUAAAUGUAUCAAGAAACCAGCUGGAGUGAUUAUAAAUGCAAAUAAGUUCAUUCAUCUCCGAAUUAUCGAUGUUCGUCUUAAAUCUUUCUCUUUGCCUUUUUGUUAACUACUAGCUAGACGAGAUUGUUGUCUGCGUUGCUAUGGCAGUCUGCGCACAAGUCUUCAGGGUUCGGUCAACAGAGCUUUAUUUAACUGCAAAGGAGGAUUAUUUUAUUUUUACCUAAAAUCUAAUUCUGCUGUUGAGCCACAACAGGGCAGUAAAAGAGCUGCAUUGCGGCUUUAAGACAUUGAAAAAGAAAUGUCAAAAGGACUUUGCUUUUCCAUAUGAACCUUUUCCAGCCAUUAUACACAGAAAAGCAAAUCCAAAUAUACAUUUUGGAUUUGAAUUUGAAUCAUGUCUUUAAUAAUGCACACUCACACUCGAAAUGCAAUUUUAAAUACACAACUGAAUUAGCAUUUGAAUUUAAAUAAAAUCAGGAAUAUGCUGCCAUAUUUUGCAACCAGGCAUUAAAAUCUAUCUUUAAUGGAGGUCCGGUCUGUGAUAGCUGAUGCAUGUUUAAACCCAGCAUUGAGUCACUCCAGUUUAAAGGCGAGAAAAUCUGGUUGUCCCAAAACGAUCAGUUUACCUGUGUUGUCCGGCUGAAAUUAAUGUACACGUAGUAGGUUUCCAUGACGUGCCCAUGUCUCCUUAUUUUGUUGACAUUUGACAUAAAUGUAGACUUUUAAUAAGACUUAAAAACAAACUCGAAUCGGAGGCGUUUAAUCAAUGUAAACAGGAAAAAAUUCUUCAUAAAUAUUUUAGCUCACACAAUUGAUUAGCUUGCUAAAUUAGCAAACUUAAUUUACAGAUUAACAUUAGCACUGGCCUUAUAUUAACAUGCAUGGUAAACAUUAAAAUAUGAAUUAUUGUUCAUGUGAUAUACACAACGGCCAUUAGUCUUGUUUGUGUGCAGUUCAACCAGAUACUUAUGGUCAACAACAGAUGUUAGAGCCCAUAUGUCAAACACAAAGAUGUUCAAACUGGGGUCCUCGUGCACAAUAUUUUAAUGUUACUUCAUCAAUGGAUGGUCAGGAACAUUAACAAAAAAAGUUACAGCUAACAUAAUCUCUAUUUGAAUUCACUGAAUGACAGAAAGGUAACGUUAGCCGACGCAAACCAAGAAGUAUUUUGUUUUGUUGCAAGUUUUCCCAUCAGUCAAUUUGACCAGUCAUUUUAACAACUUUUUAUGGGUAUGUUAUAACUUAAAGCUACAUUGAAGUAUGUCAUUUGGUGCAACCGGUUAAAUUCUAGUAGCUCGUAAACUUGAACUUAGUGGCGGUUUAUGUUUAAACUAGGCUACGAUCAAACUUUUGUUCAGUUGGUGUAACUGGCUGCUGGCCCACGACACAAUCCUAUCCAGUCAGUGAAAUUAUUUUCAUUUUCUAUUAAUAUUAGCCUGUUUUACAAUGCAUUGCACUGCAACACCCAGCAUGCACUGCAAACUUUUGUGAGCUUCCACCCACUUCUUCAAACCACAAUUCUACACUUUUUUACACCAGUCACAUCACCAAAUGCACCAACUGCAUUUCCGCUGCAGUUCAACCAACAUAAACACUAUAAACACUAUAAACUAUUUUUUGUAUUUUGAAUACACAGUGGCCGGUUCAGGUUAUAUCAAAACUUUAUUUAAAAAUAAAUAAAAACAAAAGUGUGCUCUUUAUUAAUGUGGCCCUUUUAGUGGCAGAGUUUGACUCUCCUGUGUUAGAGCAAACACCAAAUAUGCAGCAGAUACACUUUAACCAUUAAUGAGACAUGCUAGCACGCCCAUGUGGAGCGAGCUCCACCCAUUUGGCACUAGCUCAACCCAUUUAUAGCCCUGCCCAUUUGGAGCUGGCUUCAGUCUGCAGACACACGCGAAGACGGAGAAAAAGUAAACACAGCCUCCUCAAAUUUCUCAUCUGUAGAAAUUGUCUUCGAAGAGCUGCAGAUUUUAGAACAUCCUGUUUGUGAACUUCCUCGUAAUGAUCAGUAAUGGACACUCAGAAGGAAAUGGAGAUAGUUGAUGCCUCAGAAACUGCAGAUUUCUCUGGGAUCAAUGAGGAGACCAAACUAAAGGCUUCCAAGGUCCUCCAUGAGGGCAUCCUCAAAGUUGAUGAGAAGGGCACUGAAGCAGCUGCUGCCACCUUCAUGGAAGUUAAAGUUGUGUCUAGGCCACCCACUAUUAACUUUAACAGACCCUUCCUGUUCUUGAUUGCGGAAAACUGCAACAAGCACAUUCAGG